rnacentral:rRNA from 1 species
AAUGAACGUUGGCGGCGUGGAUUAGGCAUGCAAGUCGAGCGCGAACCCCGCAAGGGGGGAAAGCGGCGUAAGGGACAGUAACACGUAGAUUACCUACCCCCAGAUCUGGGAUAGCUGCGGGAAACUGCAGGUAAUACCGGAUAAUGUCUUCGGACCAAAGGUGUGAUUCCGUCCGGGGAUGGGUCUGCGUCCUAUUAGCUAGUUGGUGGGGUAAUGGCCUACCAAGGCAAUGAUGGGUAGUGGGUGUGAGAGCACGACCCGCGUCACUGGGACUGAGACACUGCCCAGACACCUACGGGUGGCUGCAGUCGAGGAUCUUCGGCAAUGGGCGCAAGCCUGACCGAGCGACGCCGCGUGUGGGAUGAAGGCCUU